rnacentral:rRNA from 1 species
AGUGAACGCUGGCGGCAUGCUUUACACAUGCAAGUCGAACGGCAGCGCGGGCUUCGGCCUGGCGGCGAGUGGCGAACGGGUGAGUAAUGCAGCGGAACGUGCCCAGCAGUGGGGGAUAGCCCGGCGAAAGCCGGAUUAAUACCGCAUACGACCUGAGGGUGAAAGCGGGGGACCGAAAGGCCUCGCGCUAUUGGAGCGGCCGAUGUCGGAUUAGCUAGUUGGUGGGGUAAAGGCUUACCAAGGCGACGAUCCGUAGCUGGUCUGAGAGGACGACCAGCCACACUGGGACUGAGACACGGCCCAGACUCCUACGGGAGGCAGCAGUGGGGAAUUUUGGACAAUGGGGGCAACCCUGAUCCAGCCAUGCCGCGUGCGGGAAGAAGGCCUUCGGGUUGUAAACCGCUUUUGUUCGGGAAGAAAUCCUCUGGGCUAAUACCCCGGGGGGAUGACGGUACCGGAAGAAUAAGCACCGGCUAACUACGUG